rnacentral:rRNA from 1 species
CGGCGAGUGAAGCGGGAACGGCUCAAAUUUGAAAUCUCCGUUGGUUCCAACGGCGAAUUGUAGUUUCGAGAAGCACUUUCUAGGCGGACCUCCGUCGUCUAAGUUGCUUGGAACAGCACGUCAUAGAGGGUGACAACCCCGUCUACGACGAAGGAGGCCGCUGACGAUGUGUUUUCGAAGAGUCGGGUUGUUUGGGAAUGCAGCCCAAAAUGGGUGGUAAACUCCAUCUAAAGCUAAAUAUAGGCACGAGACCGAUAGCGAACAAGUACCGUGAGGGAAAGAUGAAAAGAACUUUGAAAAGAGAGUUAAAAAGUACGUGAAACCGUUAAAGGGGAAACGAAUGGAGUUAGCAAUGCAUCCUGCAAGAUUCAGCCGGCAGGUGGUGCGGACGGGCGGUUGGCGGAUCUGCAUGGACCGCCGCCGUUCGGCUCGCGCUCCCUGCMGUCGCACUUCUUGCGGAUGUGCGUCAACGUCGGUUCGGCCCCGGUGUCAAAAGCUGGCGGGAAGGUAGGUCUUGGGCCUCGGUUCGAGACUGUUAUAGCCCGUCUUCUGAUGGCCGGAGCCGGACCGAGGCGUCGCAGCGCAUGCCUCUUCUGGCUAGGGUCUCUCGUGGCCGGUCGAUUGUCGAUUGUGGUGGACUGCUUGCAGUGCACCCGAACUGCUGUCGGUCGCUCGCGGGGUGACUUCGUACUAUGCGCUC